UAGUUGGUGGAGUGAUUUGUCUGGUUAAUUCCGUUAACGAACGAGACCUCAGCCUGCUAAAUAGUACUGUCAAUCUUCGGAUUGGUCAGCACUUCUUAGAGGGACUAUUGGUGAUUAGCCAGUGGAAGUAUGAGGCAAUAACAGG
rnacentral:rRNA from 1 species